GAUGAACGCUGGCGGCGUGCCUAAUACAUGCAAGUCGAGCGAACGGACGAGAAGCUUGCUUCUCUGAUGUUAGCGGCGGACGGGUGAGUAACACGUGGAUAACCUACCUAUAAGACUGGGAUAACUUCGGGAAGCCGGAGCUAAUACCGGAUGAUAUUUUGAACCGCAUGGUUCAAAAGUGAAAGACGGUCUUGCUGUCACUUAUAGAUGGAUCCGCGCUGCAUUAGCUAGUUGGUAAGGUAACGGCUUACCAAGACAACGAUGCAUAGCCGACCUGAGAGGGUGAUCGGCCACACUGGAACUGAGACACGGUCCAGACUCCUACGGGAGGCAGCAGUAGGGAAUCUUCCGCAAUGGGCGAAAGCCUGACGGAGCAACGCCGCGUGAGUGAUGAAGGUCUUCGGAUCGUAAAACUCUGUUAUUAGGGAAGAACAUAUGUGUAAGUAACUGUGCACAUCUUGACGGUACCUAAUCAGAAAGCCACGGCUAACUACGUG
rnacentral:rRNA from 1 species